AGUGAACGCUGGCGGUAGGCCUAACACAUGCCAGUCGAACGGCAGCACAGUAAGAGCUUGCUCUUACGGGUGGCGAGUGGCGGACGGGUGAGGAAUACAUCGGAAUCUACUUUUUCGUGGGGGAUAACGUAGGGAGACUUACGCUAAUACCGCAUACGACCUACGGGUGAAAGCAGGUGAUCUUCGGACCUUGCGCGAUUGAAUGAGCCGAUGUCGGAUUAGCUAGUUGGCGGGGUAAAGGCCCACCAAGGCGACGAUCCGUAGCUGGUAUGAGAGGAUGAUCAGACACCCUGGAAGUGAGAAAGGGCACAGACACCUACGGGAGGACGCAGUGGGGACUAUUGGACAAUGGGCGAAAGCCUGAUCCAGCCAUACCGCGUGGGCGAAGAAGGACUUCGGGUUGUAAAGCCCUUUUGUUGGGAAAGAAAAGAAGCAGGUUAAUCCCCCGCUGUUAUGACGGUACCCAAAGAAUAAGCACCGGCUAACUUCGUG
rnacentral:rRNA from 1 species